GUCCACGCCCUAAACGAUGUCAACUAGGUGUUGGGAGGGUAAAACCUUUUAGUACCGGAGCUAACGCGUGAAGUUGACCGCCUGGGGAGUACGGCCGCAAGGUUAAAACUCAAAGGAAUUGACGGGGACCCGCACAAGCGGUGGAUGAUGUGGAUUAAUUCGAUGCAACGCGAAAAACCUUACCUACCCUUGACAUGUCAGGAAGUCCCGAGAGAUUGGGAUGUGCCCGAAAGGGAACCUGAACACAGGUGCUGCAUGGCUGUCGU
rnacentral:rRNA from 1 species